rnacentral:tRNA from 1 species
GCUGGGAUGGCCGAGUCAGGACUAAGGCGACGGCCUCGAGAGCCGUUUGGCAUUGCCAGCGCAGGUUCAAAUCCUGCUCCCAGCG